rnacentral:ncRNA from 1 species
GUUAGCCAAAGGCAAACCCAUUGAAAGAUGGGGACGCAAAGCCGCGGAUCUAAGGCAGUUAAACUGCUAAGACAGCCGGGCUGCCGUA